rnacentral:rRNA from 1 species
GAUGAACGCUGGCGGCGUGCCUAAUACAUGCAAGUCGAGCGAACAGACGAGGAGCUUGCUCCUCUGACGUUAGCGGCGGACGGGUGAGUAACACGUGGAUAACCUACCUAUAAGACUGGGAUAACUUCGGGAAACCGGAGCUAAUACCGGAUAAUAUCUUGAACCGCAUGGUUCAAUAGUGAAAGACGGCUUUGCUGUCACUUAUAGAUGGAUCCGCGCCGCAUUAGCUAGUUGGUAAGGUAACGGCUUACCAAGGCAACGAUGCGUAGCCGACCUGAGAGGGUGAUCGGCCACACUGGAACUGAGACACGGUCCAGACUCCUACGGGAGGCAGCAGUAGGGAAUCUUCCGCAAUGGGCGAAAGCCUGACGGAGCAACGCCGCGUGAGUGAUGAAGGUCUUCGGAUCGUAAAACUCUGUUAUUAGGGAAGAACAAAUGUGUAAGUAACUAUGCACGUCUUGACGGUACCUAAUCAGAAAGCCACGGCUAACUACGUG